ACCACUAUUCAAAUAUGACCUUAUUGGUCCAUCACUUUCACUGCUUGCAAUGGGUUUCCUCAGGUUGUUAACCACGCUCUCCCAUAAUCUAUGCUUCAUUCGUAAGGAUUUCUUUUUUAGUCCUAGAACAGUGGAGGCUGUCCAGCCCUUAUGAAAGGACAAUUGCACUGAAUUUUAUUGCUAUGGUUGUGAUGUUCCAAUCUGACAACUUUAGUUAGUGCAAAUGUUUGUCUGAUGUUUGAUGACUUUCAUCUGGGUAAAACGGAAUUUGAUUACAUAUUGAUAUGGUAUUUGUACUGGUUGCCACGAACAGCUCAGUGGUGAUAUUUUUCUAUCCUUGAUGAUUGUAUAUUGGAUAAAUCUCCACUGAUGAGGUAUUUAAGGCUUUAGUGGAGUGGGUUGUGUUGGCCCUUGUCUUGAGAGCUAGCCUCAGUUUCAGUUAAGUAGCUCUUAAAGUAACUUCUACUUGGCAUGAUAAUCAAGUCCAAAUUUUGAACAAUAGAGAUGUUAGUCUCAUUUUGAAACCAUUCUUUCUGCUGUUCUGUGGCCUGAGGGCUACAUUUAGUUGCAAACUGUGUUUUUGCUGAAGUUAUUGUUGGAUGAACCCUUAUGCAUCCACUUUUGACAUUUUUGACACUUGAUACACCUGCUUGUGACAAUUCCACCAAUAGUAUUGGGAAUUGAGUUGUCUUUGUCAUUUUAAGUAGUAGCUGCCACUAGGUGGUGGCCCUAAUAUUGUUGUUUCAAGUUUUUCUGUUUUCAGUUUGAUUUGGUUAUCCACAUCAUAACUUGGGGACAACAAACCAUUUUUCCCAUUUUAUCUCAACGGAUUUUUUCAUUCUUACAAUGUUUCAGUCUUUUAGAUUGUCGAGGUGAUAAAUUUUUAUCUCAAAUAACUCAAGUUGGUGCAUCCUUAACUUUGUGGCCCUUUUGCAUCCACUGCAUGUUGACAGUUUCGAAACUUGAUACACAUGCUUGUGACAAUUCCACCACUAGGAACUGGAAUUGUGUUGUCUGUGUCAUUUUAAGCAAUGGCAGUAACUAUGCCGUGGCCCUAAUAUUGUUGUUUCAAGUUUUUCUGUUUUCAGUUUCAUUUGCUUAUCCAUUUCAUGGGUUGGGGACAACACAUAUUUUUUCCCAUUUUAUCUCAGAUGGAUUGUCUUGACUUCUUACAAAGUACAUAAUCAUGUAGGUUGUAGAGGUUAAAUAUCCAUACCACGAAUACCUCAAGGUUGUACUAUGAUACGAUUUAAUUUUAAUUAUCCAUCGAUCAUCAUCUCUACAUGCAGUUGUAUUGAAAUUUAUGCGCAUGUUCUGGUUAAUGUUCUACUAUUUGUUUUAUACUUGGAUUAGUCUUUUAACCUUUUAUUAAUCAUAAUGCAUGCUGCAGAGCUGGCGUCACUUCUCUACUAAGGGUAGGGAGCCUGCUGACAAAGCUGAGAGUGUUCUGCGUCUGUGGUGGCAGCGGGCUAGGAACCGUGUGGAAAAUGCUGAUUUAGCGCAGAGUGCCAAGUCUGCCUUUUGUGUUUAGACUGGUCGGUUUAGGGGGAUCGACGUGCUAUGUGGUGAAGUCGAUGUGGGAUCUCCACCAUUGACCAUGAUGAUGAAGACUGGAUCAUGGUGGUGAUAGUUUUGUUUAUCGGCGCGUUACUAUUUUUCAAACUGUGAACCCCCCAGGGGCUGGGGUGGUGGCGUGUGUCUUGGGUGUGUGGUGGUGUGUGUAACUUGGCUAUUUUGACCUUUUCCUCUUCUUAAUGCAAUGAUAUGUAGCUCUCCUGCAUAUUCGAGAAUGAAGACUGGAUCAUGAAGUGGCUGAGUUUGAUUUCAUUUGCAUGGUUAACUGGCUGGUGAUAUUUACCUAAGUAUUUCCUUUUCUGAAGCAGUACAUGUUUAAUUAAAUGCCAAAAAUCUUAA